CCAUCAACCACGGGACUCACUUUUGAUUUAAGGAGGCCAGAACAUCUAAAUAAGCGAACAACUUUCUGUGGAACGAGCAGGCAGGAUGGAUUUCUGCAGUGUGCUGUUAUGCUUUGGGAAGGGAGGAAAGAAAGCACCUGUUCUCUCGGAGGCCAGGCAACGUGUCUGAGGUCUUGAAGACAGCAAGUUCAGAAUGUAGUGACUCUGCUGUAACCACAGCCGAGGGAAGAAACUAUCAUCGUCAGGAUCCCGCUUCACAGUGUAAGCAUCUAUAUCCCGACAUGAAGAAAUAAUAUGGCAUUUGCCUGUCAAGUGUGAGUCAGGCAGGGUCACAUGGAGAGCUUAAAGAAAAUCACCAUCUCUGUCUCGGAGAUGAGCGGAGAGGUGAAAGAAGAUAAAGACACCUCCAAACAAGAAGUGAACUUUAUACAAGAAGAUGAUAAAGCCUGUGACGGGUGACGGACACAGUAAGGAAUUACAUCAGGAAGCACCUCAAUUAUGACUCAUUACUUUAAAAAGACUUAAUUGCAAGUGAGUAAGCCAUAGUUGUGCAGGCGCCACUCAGACAGCAACCCUCCCAUGGCCGCGCAUCGAUUUCAGAAAGUAAACAUACACUUCUCUUGGGUUCUGUUCCUAUUGCUUUCUUAAAAAGGGAAAGCUUGGUUAUCCACAGUAUCUUCCCGUUGUCCAAAUAGACCUAGUAAGCAUCAGGGACAGACAUAUGGCCCACCUUUGACAAAUCAAAUAGAAGACCCAAGGAGGUAAUGACUCAUCCAAGAUCUAAGACUAGAAUGGGAACAUA
rnacentral:lncRNA from 1 species